GCCUCGGUGGUGAAAUGGUAGACACAGGGCACUUAAAAUGCCCCGCUCUCCGAGCGUGCCGGUUCGAGUCCGGCCCGAGGCACCA
rnacentral:tRNA from 1 species